GAGUACACGUGGGUGAUCUGCCCUGCACUUCGGGAUAAGCCUGGGAAACUGGGUCUAAUACCGGAUAGGACGAUGGUUUGGAUGCCAUUGUGGAAAGUUUUUCGGUGUGGGAUGAGCUCGCGGCCUAUCAGCUUGUUGGUGGGGUAAUGGCCUACCAAGGCGUCGACGGGUAGCCGGCCUGAGAGGGUGUACGGCCACAUUGGGACUGAGAUACGGCCCAG
rnacentral:rRNA from 1 species